AAAUAAAUAAUCAUUAAACUCUAAAUGUGAUAAGCACUACGGGAAAAACACAGAAAGCCGUGUAACCAGAAGUCUGACCUCAGUGUUGGUUGGAGAAGAGGUUAGAAAAAGACUCCGAAGGGGCUGAGGUUUAAAUAGUGGAUAGAAGUUAACCAGGAAUAAGAGGAGGCUGAGGAUGUCACAAAAGACAAAAGGAGCAGCCAAUACAGAAACUGUGAGAUGGGAACCAUGUUGGGACUCUAGAGAAAUUGUACGAAGAGGGGAAAGUGACCCAGGUGAUGGUGCAGCCUUUGCCAAAGAGUUUAAGUUUCAUCCUAAGUGUAGAAGGGUUUUAAGUGGAGGAGUGAUCAUUGAAUUUGCAGGUCUAAAAGGUCUCUGUGGCUGCUGGAGAGACGGACCAGCUGAGGAGAGCUCACGUGGACAGUCACCAUGUAUGAGGCUCUGGGAGGCGCCAGGCAAGAUGUGCUGGUGUCUUGGCAUGCGUUGAGGCGGAGAGGAUGGAAAACACAAGCAAAUGAAAACGUGCUGUGGGGCAGGGGGAGGCAGCACUGAAUCUUCACGCAGCCGUGCUGCCGGAUAGAAGUGCGAGUCUGAUCCUGGGUGGGCUCGUUGGGUGGCCCAGGGUGACCCAGUGCUGAGAAGAGGAUGCAGGAGAGAAUGAGUCCGCAGUGAAGGGAGUGUGCUCGGUGGUGACUCCUUCAGCUGGAGGUGCCUGGGAGGCGUCCAGGCCACUGCGGAUGAGCUGAGCUGCCCACGUAUGAGUCUGGACCGUGCACAUAGUGUGAAUGGGGUCAGUGGCUUGUACUCUACUGAAGCCCUGGGCUUGGGUGAGGUCACUGGGGGACCUUAGAGAGAAGAGAGGAAACAGGCCUGAGCACUUUCAAGGUCUAACGGCAGGGAGAGAAGAGAGAUCCCGUAAACGACGGAGAGAAGUAGGAAAGAAAUGGGAGAGAGAAGUCCCAAGGAAGGGUGAGCGGGGAAGGAUGAGCUCUGGGCGUCCCCGCAGUCAGCAAGAGGGAAGGAGAGCCUCUCCCCAGGGACGUCUGGGUGCUAGAGGUGCACAGGGUGCUAGAGGUGCACAGAUUAGAAAGGACAGAAGAGGCUGUGGGGUCCAGGGAAGGUUGUGUUGUUUUGUUUUAAUGGAUAGAUGUGCAUGUUUGGGGAGAUGGGUCUUUUAAAUGGUAGGAAACAGAAUAUGUCUCAGGACUGACGGAAAGCAUCCAGGAGAUGGGAGAGAGUCAUAAAAUAGAACUGAGGAAAGAAUGCUGUGCUCUUACUGAGGAACUAGGGAAGAUGGGCUCCGGAGCCCUGCAGGAAGAGGUGCUCCCACCAUGCAUGCACGGUCGGAAUCCUGCCCUGGGACUUUCUGCCCAGCAGGUGGUGGGGAGGAACCCGGUGCAGUGAUGCUGACGCACUCCGUCAGACACUGCGCAUGGUCAGUGGUGGCUGUGUCAACGGCUGCGCAGCUCAUGACGGCGCCGGGCUCUAACGGCCAGAACCUGUAGUUUGGGCGAGGGAAUAUUCUUUCCUUUACAGCCUGCCAUCUUCCACGUCAUCUGAAUCUCCUCUGACUAAGGCAGGGAAUGGGAGGGCUAACUAUGGAUAGUCAAGAUACAAAGUGUUGUUCGUGUCAAUAGUCUACUGACUCUUUAACCCUCUGUGUACUUCAUCGUUAUCUACUGAAAAAAAAAAAGUACUGAUGUCUUUAUCCUUGGAGAGGAGAGGUGUAAUCGAGAUGGAGAAGAUGAGACAAAUGGAGCACAUAGAAGCCACACAACCUUCCUAAAGUCACGCAGCUGGAGGCCGCACAGCCAGAUGGCUCCAGAGGACAUGUCCUUAAUCAUGAUGUUGCUAUUUAGCAGAAACAUCGCUGCAGAAAGUCAGACCACAGAUGGGGACUGGUGGAAACCAAACAUAUGACUACAUCAGUCUACAAAAGCAUCAUGGUAUUCCCACAUAAUUCAGAAGCAUGCCAGGCCAUUCAGAAUCUACAGACCAGAGCAAUCAUGCAAGAUAAUGGAAGAUAAUGACAAAACAAUAUAAUGACAAGAUAAUGGAAGAUAGUGACAAAAAUAUUCUGAGCAUCAUUGAUUUAGUCACCCUUUAUUUCAUAAACAUCUUAGAAUUUUCUUCCCACCUUUGUUUAUUAUUUGGUGUGAUUUUGUGUUUUUUCUUCCUAAUCUUUUAUUAAUUUAUUUUAAGUGACAAGUAAAUAUUGUAUAUAUUUAUGGUAUACAAAAUGUAUUUGUAUUUUGAUAUAUGCAUACAUUGUGGAAUGGCUAAAUUAAGCUAUUUAACAUAUGCAUUAUCUCACAUACUUAUAUUUUUGUGAUUAGAACACAUAAAACCUACUCUCAGUAAUUUUUAAAUAAACAAUAGAUUAUUAAAUGUAGUCAUAAUGAUGUACAAUAGAUCUCUUAAAUUUAUUCCUCCUGUCUAAUUGAUUUUGUGGUCUUUGACCAACAGUUUCCCAACACCCCCAGCCCCCGCCCCCAGGUAAUCACCAUUCUACUGUCUGCUUCUAAGAGUUCAACUUUUUUAUGCUCUGCAUAUAAGUAAAAUCAUGCAGUAUUUGUCCUUCUGUGACUGGCUUAUUUCACCUAACAUAAUGUCCUCCAGGUUUAUCCAUGUUGUCCCAAAUGACAGGAUUUCAUUCUCUUUUAAGGCUGAAUAGCAUUCUAUUGUGCAGAUAUACCACAUUUUCUUUAGCCACUUAUUCGUGGUAUUGAUGAACAUUUAGGUUUGCUUUUUAUUCUUUCCUUUUCAACUUUUAUUUUAGAAUCAGGGGUGCAUGUGCAGGUUCGUUACAUAGGUAUAUUGCAUGAUGCUGAAGUUUAGAGUAUGAAUUUAUCUGUCAUGGGAACAGUAGAUACUGGGAAAUACAAGAAGGGGAAGGAAGGAAGGGGGGUAAGGGCUGAA
rnacentral:lncRNA from 10 species